CAAACUUUCAAGCACUGCUGUAAUAGAUCAGAUAUUAAAUAACUAUAAUCACUAUCACAGUGUGUGACAGUAAUUGGUUACACAAUUCACCAUGAUGUUUAACACAUGCAGGAUUAUUACAGCUCUGAUCAACACUAGAUUUCAGUUUGUUUGAGUUUGGUUUUGUGUUUAUAGUCUAUUCGUUUGUAGGGUUUACCAAGAUAGAUGAAUGACCCUUGACACCAAUACUCGCACAACAUGAUGUAUUCGAUGUAUGAUUGUGUCUAGACAAGUAAAUAGACAGAUGAAUAAAUAGAUGGAUGAAUAAAUAGACAGAUAUACAGAUGGUGGUGAAAGUUGCUAAUGGAUUGAUGUUUGUAGACAGCCAAUUUCUCAAUAUGUUUCUUUACUUUGGAAGUCGGAGGAGUUACAGGUGCCAGGGGAGUUGGAAUUAACAGGAGUUGGGGUCUUACAGGAAUUAUGAGUGUGACUGCAGUUAUAGGAGUUGUGGGAUACUGAAGUAUUACAGGUGUUUACUGGAGGUUUAUUCUGUUUACAGAAUUUACUGGAGGUAGGGUGGAGUUGCUGGAGGUAGAAGGAGGUUAGGGGAGUUGCUGGAGCUAGGGGUAGUUGCUGGAGCUAGGGGUAGUUGCUGAAGGUAGGGGGAGUUGCUGGAGGUAAGGGGAGUUGCUGGAGGUAGGAGGAGGUAAGGGGAGUUGCUGGAGGUAGGGGGAGUAAGGGGAGUUGCUGGAUGUAGGAGGAGUUAGGGGAGGUGCUGCAGGUAGGGGGAGGUGCUGGAGUUAGGGGAGUUGCUGGAGGUAGGGAGAGUUAGGGGAGUUGCUGGAGGUAGGGAGAGUUAGGGGAGUUGCUGGAGGUAGGGAG
ensembl:lncRNA